CCUACGGGUGGCAGCAGUGGGGAAUAUUGGGCAAUGGAGGCAACUCUGACCCAGCAACGCCGCGUGAAUGAUGAAGGUCUUUGGAUUGUAAAGUUCUGUGAUGGGGGAUGAACACAAUGACGGUACCCCAAUAGCAAGCCACGGCUAACUACGUGCCAGCAGCCGCGGUAAUACGUAGGUGGCAAGCGUUAUCCGGAGUGACUGGGCGUAAAGGGGGCUGAGGUGGUUUAGUAAUUUGGCGGUGGAAUUCCGGGGCUCAACCUCGGCACUACCGCAAAAACUAUUAGACUAGAGUGCAGGAGUGGUAAGUGGAAGUCCUGGUGUAGCAGUGGAAUGCGUAGAUAUUAGGAGGAACAUCAGGGGCGAAGGCGACUUACUGGACUGUAACUGACACUGAGGCACGAAGGCGUGGGGAGCGAACGGGAUUAGAUACCCCAGUAGUC
rnacentral:rRNA from 1 species